GCCGCCAAUGUCCCAGUCCCUGGAGAGGUCUCACCCCUCACCGAGAUGCACUCAGGGCCUAUUAGCUUUUAGGGAGAAAAUGAGUUGAUAUUCAAGGAAUUCAGGACAGAAUGGCAUUAGACUUCUCAACAGCAACAUUGGAAGUUAGAAGAGAGUGGAAAAAAUAUCUUCAAAAUUAAGAGGUGUUAAUGAAGAAUGUAUGCUACCAAGUCAAUGGAUUCUACUAAAUUAGUGUCUCCAGGGGCUUUUGUGAUGAAAUAUUUGAGUGAAUGAAUGCCUUUGUCUCUGAGAAUCUGGACUUCAAGCAUAAUCACUAUCCGUACCUCUGUGCUGCUUCUGAAGAUUCCCACUAUGGUUAGCCUUUCCCCUGAGGUGAAGAUUUUGUUUUGAUCAGCUAUAAACAGACCAGUACAUUCAAGGGUUUGCCAGAUCAGAUUCAAAGGUUGUUUCAGUUCAACAAACAUAAAUUGAGCAACUCCUUAGGUUCUGUGCUGGACUCCGGUAAUGCUAAGAUUAGUAAGACAAGGUCUGGUGUUAAAGGGUUCAGCGUUCUACUGAGGAAACAACAUUUUCAUGCCUCUCUUGACUGACUUUAACCCUCUGAAUCAUCACCAACUCUCUGUGCCUUGUGGACAAGGAGUAUGAAGAAUCAAAUUGAUAACGAAACCUUCCUUCCAGCGAUCCACACAUCCCACGUGAGCAUGGGGCCCUACUUCUGUUCACCCAACUUCACCUCUGAAUAACGUCUGUACGCUUUCCUCCCUCUGCAAUAAUUCUCUGAGGUUUCUCCAAUGAGAAUUCCAAAAGGAUGAAUGACAUAUUUGAUAAAAGGACAAUAAUUCACUCCAGUCAGAAGGUAUCAAACAGCCAUAACAUUUCUGAAGAAUUGGCCCUCAGAGGGAGAACAGUGUGGUGAGACCAUGAAGAGGAGUCUAAGAAAAUGUUAUGUCAAUGAGCAGAACAGCAAUUCCCACAGGUGGAAAAAAAAAAUGACAAAAAUAUGAAAGCUUACUCUGUCUUUCCUUUUCCAUGGCUUCUCCCUUCGUAUGAGGUGUUAAUUCCCAAUACCCACCAAGACUUCUGCUUCCAGCUGUGGUAGGUUACCUUGUAACAGGUCAAUCAUCUUUCCAAGAAAAACUAGAAAAGUGAAAAGCUGGACUAAAAUACACACACAACACACAUUACCUGUUUGAAGAUGUUAGAGCGAUUUCAAAGCAGCAAGGACUUGAGGGCCAGACUGUUGAAGAGAAGGGAAGAAAAGUGAAAGGGCAACAUUCAGUUCUGCUUUUCUCCUCAAGGCAUUUGCCAAUUUGUAACUGAGGGUUGAGAAGCUGGAAAUCUGACCAGAGCUUGGGAGCCAAAAAUGGAAUUCAGAGAUCACUAUGCAAGAGAGACCUGGUUAACAAUCCAGGAUUUCAGUUGUGACUUUUAAAGAGUUACUCUUUAACAGUAAAGACAAGCCAGAAAUAGACCAGUCCACACACAGAUUAAACUCAGCUUCAAACUAGCUCAAUUUCAACUUCAGACUGGAUUAAGGUGAAUUUCCCUUACCCUAAGUGCCUAAUUGUCUCUAGAAUUUUUCAUACAUUGUGUCCAGGAUUCACUUAUAAAUUUACCAGGCUAUAGGAAACAAAAACAAAUGACUAAUAAGGAAAAAAAACAAGAUACUAGUAAAUGUCUUUAGCAAUUUCAGAUAGUCAGAUAUUUCAGGUUCACCUUGCAUUAACCCAUUAGUACCCUACUUCCCUCAGUCUCCCUAGGACCUCUGAUGUGCUCCAGGUGAUAAGAGCUAAUUUCACGUAAUAAUUCACGCUAAUAUACGAAGAGAAUUUUCUUCCACCUCCUUCAACCAUUUGAUAAACUUUGAUAGUGCUUCUAAACAAAUAUCUAAUUAGUUGUACAACCCAAAAGAGAUGGUGGGAAUUUCGAGUUAAGUAGGAAAGAAGACUCUUGGUAAAAUGGCAAUACGUAAGGGCAAUAUUUUGGGGACAGGAAAGGCAAUUUGGGGACCCUCUAAUGGCUUUAUGUAGACAACUACCCAGCCUUACUGCCUGGAUGGUAAAUAGUUAGCAAGCAUAGCUAAUCACUGGCCCAUAUGGUUUUGUUUCUGUCUGAUCUGCAUACUAUAGCUGCUCUAUACUUUGAGACUCUCUUUUGUAUUUCACGCAAUUCUGUUGUUUUAAAACACUGAUGAGGUAUGAUGUGCUUUUAGUGAAGCAAUGUAAAUCUAUCAAAUCUGGCGCAGCCAAUAUCAGAUCUACUAGGGCAUGAUUACUGGCUUAAGGAGUGAAGAUCACUUUCUGUUGGCUGCGCUUGGAUGAAGACAGACCUUGCGUAAGGAAUCUAGGAAUCUGAAAAGAGCAAGAGCACAGGGCUCUUGGUUUUAUGUUUUAGAGAAAGGAGAUAUGACAUAAAGUAAUAUUUCUAGGUCCAGUGAAAGAGGACAAGAGAGCCUUUAUUUUUUUUUAUAAGUUAUAGUGUCGAAAAGCGUAACAAAAUAAGAGAGAAAACAUGAAAUUCAGUUGGAAGAUUGAAUAGUUGGGCCCAA